rnacentral:rRNA from 1 species
UACGGAGGAUGCAAGCGUUAUCCGGAUUUAUUGGGUUUAAAGGGUGCGCAGGUUGUUUGAUAAGUCAGUGGUGAAAGUCUGUCGCUUAACGGUAGGAUUGCCAUUGAUACUGUUAGACUUGAAUAUGGAUGAGGUAGGCGGAAUGUGUAGUGUAGCGGUGAAAUGCAUAGAUAUUACACAGAACACCGAUUGCGAAGGCAGCUUACUAAUCCAUCAAUGACGCUGAGGCACGAAAGCGUGGGGAUCAAACA